AUGUUCAAAAUCAAAUUUCUUCCCUACCUCUGGCGGCAUCGGAGCCCUAAAUCUUCAAACAAAGUACGUUAUCAUUUUCCUCUCUCUGCCCUGAGUCUAAAUCUCAUGUCCAAUUCUAACAAUUCUCCAUCAAUUAUUCGAAUCGAGGCCAACUGUAUAAGAACCCUAUAAAUAAAAUGAGAAAUUAAAUCAUGAUUCUCUAGAAUCACGACACUAGAGGUUAGGGAUUUGAUUCUCCUAAAUGAAGUCUACAACCCGAUAACAAGCACAAAGCAAACAACCAAGAAAAAGAGGACACUCAUCGGAGAAUUCGCGGAGGUCACUAGAAUCAAGUAAUCUAUUAUGAAUCUUUCUUCUUCUUUCGAAUCUCCUUCUUAUUUAAUCUUGUUCUUCUUCUUUCUUCUUCUGUGAUUGAGUCUCGUGUGAGUGUGAAAUUAUGUGUGUGUGUGUGUGUGUGUGUGUGUGUGUGAGAGAGAGAGAGAGAGAGAGAGAGAGAGAGGAUGAAGCUCUGAGUCUAUGUGAAUUGAGAUGAAGGAUGAUUAAUGAUGAGUCUGGGUUGAUGAAAAAAUGAAGAGUCCAAGAGAGAGAGAGAGAGAGAGAGAGAGAGAGGAUGAAGCUCUGAGUCUAUGUGAAUUGAGAUGAAGGAUGAUUAAUGAUGAGUCUGGGUUGAUGAAAAAAUGAAGAGUCCCUAGAGAUUAUGAAGGUUGAUUUGAAUUUAUAGAGGGAUUAGUUAACAGAAAAAGGAACUAUGUUAGUUCUAUUUGAUUCAAAGUUAGUCUGUAGUUAACUAACUCCGGGAUUUUCAGUUACAAGUUAGUUAGGGAAUUCAAAAUUCUACUUAAGCGGUAGUUAGAUGGUGAGAUGAAAGUGAAAGUUAGUCUGAGAUGUGUUAACUGUGAACUACAAUUUCUAUUAGUUCUGAGUGAAAUGAAAUUCAGUUAAGUGUUAAAUUUAAUUAGAUGUUCAGUUAGAUGUUAAAUGAGUUGUUAGUUGUAAGUUGGUUAAGUUAUGAAAUUCUAUUUUUAUCUUCAACCUCAAUUAGUGGUUAGUUAUGAAUCGUGCCAUGCUGCUAUUGUUGAUUGAUUUGCAAUGUAGUUUGAUAUGUUUAGUUGUUGCAUUGUUGUGUCAUGACAAAUUGCAUUGUUGUUUAUCUUCUUUUGUGAUGAAUUGCAUUGCCAUGUUAUUGUGUAUGUGACCUUGAUUGCACAUGCUAUGGUGCUUGUGCUAUGGUGCUUGUGUUAUAAUGCUAGGUGAAUAAACUAUGGUUGAUUCUAAUUUAUGGUUAAUGUUUAGGCUAUGGUGAAUUGUUGGCUUUGCGUUAUGAUGGAUUGCAUUGAAUUAAAAUCUUAGGGCUGCAAUGAAUUGUUUGUGUUACUUAUUGGAUGCUAGUGUGAUAUGAUUGUUAUCAUGGCUUGAAAUGCUUGGCUAAGGUUGUUUAGAUUGAAUGGUUGAUUGAUAUUUAUAAUUUGAUGUGUUAUGCAUAUGCUUGACAUUUGUUUUGUAUGGUUUUAGAAAUGGUUUAUGUUGGCAUGGUUGGAAAUAGACUGUUUAGAUCAAUGUUGGUUUACCAUGCUUGAAAUGACAUGUAUUGAUUUGGUCUUAUCUUGUAGGAUGUGCAUGAGGAUGGAUGGAAAAAGAUGGCUUAUACUUGAAGAAAAAUGGGGAUUAGGGUUUAGGAUGUAAAAAGUUGGUUAGUUGACUUUGGUCAACUGGUUGACCCAAAACUCAACAGUUGACCAAAAACUCAACAGUUGACCAAAAGUGAUCAACUUAUGUAAAAAUUGUACUUUUUGUAAUUUCUUUGUAUGAACAUGUAUGGGCAAUGUAAAAAUGAUCUUGUAUGAAUAAAAUGCAUCCUUUUUAGAUGGGAAAGUACUUAGGAUUA
rnacentral:lncRNA from 1 species